rnacentral:rRNA from 1 species
UACGUAGGGUGCGAGCGUUAAUCGGAAUUACUGGGCGUAAAGCGCGCGUAGGUGGUUCAGCAAGUUGGAUGUGAAAGCCCUGGGCUCAACCUGGGAACUGCAUCUAAAACUACUGAGCUAGAGUACGGUAGAGGGUAGUGGAAUUUCCUGUGUAGCGGUGAAAUGCGUAGAUAUUCGGAGGAACACCGGUGGCGAAGGCGGCUAUCUAGACCGAUACUGACGCUGAGACGCG